CGAGUCAAAUAUUUUUGAUUUCUCAAACUCAGAUCAGAUUGUCCGUUGAGAACAUAAAUCUUAGUUUGAUUAGUGCUGCUAUUGCUGCCCCGGGGGUUUAAUUUAUAUCCUUUUUGCGCAGAAACUUUUGAAAAGAAGAUG
ensembl:ncRNA F48C5.5 ncRNA